UACAGAGGGUGCAAGCGUUGUUCGGAAUUAUUGGGCGUAAAGGGUGCGUAGGCGGUGCGGUAAGUCUCUUGUGAAAUCUCCGGGCUCAACUCGGAGCCUGCAAGGGAAACUGCCGUGCUUGAGUGUGGGAGAGGUGAGUGGAAUUCCCGGUGUAGCGGUGAAAUGCGUAGAGAUCCGGAAGAACACCGGUGGCGAAGGCGAUUAGCUGGGCAGUUGC
rnacentral:rRNA from 1 species